UGGGGAAUCUUGGACAAUGGGGGCAACCCUGAUCCAGCCAUGCCGCGUGAGUGAAGAAGGCCUUAGGGUUGUAAAGCUCUUUCACCGGUGAAGAUAAUGACGGUAGCCGGAGAAGAAGCCCCGGCUAACUCCGUGCCAGCAGCCGCGGUAAGACGGAGGGGGCUAGCGUUGUUCGGAAUUACUGGGCGUAAAGCGCACGCAGGCGGAUUGGUAAGUUAGAGGUGAAAUCCCGGGGCUCAACCUCGGAAUUGCCUUUGAUACUGCCAGUCUUGAGUCCGGGAGAGGUGAGUGGAAUUCCUAGUGUAGAGGUGAAAUUCGUAGAUAUUAGGAAGAACACCAGUGGCGAAGGCGGCUCACUGGCCCGGAACUGACGCUCAGGUGCGAAAGCGUGGGGAGCAAACAGGAUUAGAUACCCCUGUAGUCC
rnacentral:rRNA from 1 species